AUACGUAGGUGGCGAGCGUUAUCCGGAAUUACUGGGUGUAAAGGGUGUGUAGGCGGGUCGGCACGUCAGGCGUGAAAUGAGAAGGCUCAACCUUCUAACUGCGCUUGAAACUGUCGAUCUUGAGAGUGGGAGAGGUAAACGGAAUUCCUGGUGUAGUAGUGAAAUGCGUAGAUAUCAGGAGGAACACCGGUGGCGAAGGCGGUUUACUGGACCACAACUGACGCUGAGACACGAAAGCGUGGGGAGCAAACAGGAUUAGAUACCCUGGUAGUCCACGCCGUAAAUGAUGAAUACUAGGUGUAGGGUCCGCAGGGAUUCUGUGCCGGAGUUAACACAAUAAGUAUUCCACCUGGGGAGUACGGCCGCAAGGUUGAAACUCAAAUGAAUUGACGGGG
rnacentral:rRNA from 1 species